rnacentral:miRNA from 1 species
AGUGUGUGUAGUGUGUGUAUAUAAUGCAGUGUGUAUAGUGUGUUUAUAUAAUGCACACUACACAAACACACUGCAUUAUAUACAUACACUAUACAAAC